rnacentral:rRNA from 1 species
CCUACGGGAGGCAGCAGUGAGGAAUAUUGGUCAAUGGACGAGAGCCUGAACCAGCCAAGUAGCGUGAAGGAUGACUGCCCUAUGGGUUGUAAACUUCUUUUAUAAAGGAAUAAAACGAGGCACGUGUGCCUUUUUGCAUGUACUUUAUGAAUAAGGAUCGGCUAACUCCGUGCCAGCAGCCGCGGUAAUACGGAGGAUCCGAGCGUUAUCCGGAUUUAUUGGGUUUAAAGGGAGCGUAGGUGGGUUGUUAAGUCAGUUGUGAAAGUUUGCGGCUCAACCGUAAAAUUGCAAUUGAUACUGGCAGUCUUGAGUACAGUUGAGGUAGGCGCAAUUCGUGGUGUAGCGGUGAAAUGCUUAGAUAUCACGAAGAACCCCGAUUGCGAAGGCAGCUUGCUAAACUGUGACUGACAUUGAUGCUCGAAAGUGUGGGUAUCAAACAGGAUUAGAUACCCCAGUAGUC